UACGUAGGGUGCGAGCGUUGUCCGGAUUUAUUGGGCGUAAAGGGAGCGUAGGCGGUUCGGCAAGUCUUUAGUGAAAUCUCUGGGCUCAACUCAGAGUCUGCUGAAGAAACUGCCGGGCUGGAGUAUGGGAGAGGUGAGUGGAAUUCCCGGUGUAGCGGUGAAAAUUCGUAGAUAUUCGGAAGAACACCAGUGGCGAAGGCGACUCACUGGACACGUAUUGACGCUGAGGUGCGAAAAGCGUGGGGAGCAAACAGGG
rnacentral:rRNA from 1 species